UGACAGCGAAAAUGUGUCAACAUUAUCCUCUCUUCUACACCAUCCUUCCAACUGAACUGUAACAACCAAUCCUUCUACAUUUUCCGUUCAAAGAUCAAAUUAUUUCAUCCCAACACCUUCUCCUACCUAGGCAGCCGGCUGCAGGACCAUUAAAACAAUUACGACAAGCCUAGAAAGUUCAGAAAUUACCUCUUUCUAUAAGAAGGUAUGCCAAGCUUUGAAGUGUGUCUAGUGAAGUUGUGUGUGUGGACCAAAUACUGGAUAGCUUGACAGCUUUUGAGAAGCAUAUAUGAUCUAAAGCUUUCAAUUUCUACCACAGAUAUAGACUGCAGAACUCUAGCAUCCAUUUGACAGGCCAUCAACUGCAAAAUACACAUGGAGGAAGAUAACUAUAGUAUAUGUGCAUGCAGACCUAGAAGAAGAAAUGUUCCAGAAAGGUAUAUCAUUUGAAUAGUACCGAGCUUACCCCAUGAUAUAAAUUGGUCAUAUAUUCUAAAUUCAUCAAAUUCGUAUACAAGAUUUUUGUUGAAAAUUUUUGAAGCAACAGAUGGCAAGAACUUUAACCAUAUUAAGAAUUCUUUGACAAUAUUCAUUUCAAAGGUUCACGGAAUUCCCUUAUUGUUGGCUUGCUAAAGAAAAGUUCUCUUCAAAGACAAAUGAAAAUAAUCAAAUGAGAAAUGUUGGUACAGGACGAAAAAGCAGACACUUCUGAGCCUUGUUCAGUGACGUCUUUGAAGCAAUGCAAAGAAAUAACAUGGAAACAUAGGAAGAGAAAACAUUUAUGAAAUGAAAAAUGGCAAUUAUAAACAUCUUAUUCGUACAUAUAUGCAUAAAUACAGGAAAUUAAUACCUAAAGUCCUAAAGCGUAAAAAUACUCAUAACUAAACGGAUUCUGUGGGAAUAUCCACUCUUCUAUACUAUUAGUGUCAAGUGCCCUCCAUAUUUCAUUUGAAAACCACUUGCUUUAUCCAACAUCCAAAUAUGACAGCAAUCAAAAGGUGGGGUAUAUCCCAACGAACUCAUUGUUGGAACAUAUGGAGCCUAAUAAUAGCGUACACAAUUUCCUUCCCAAACUUUCUUCUUCAUAAUGAAAAUCUUAGCAGACCUACGGUGAGUGGGUGAAAGUGGACCGAUCUGUGUGUGCUUUAGUUGUUUUGGUUUCUUCUAUUGCUCUCUUAAACCAGAACUAGAACUUAUCCAUAACAUUCUACCGUCCACGGGAGUAAAACUUGUCUUUGGAUACAGAUGUUGCAAUAUUUUAACCUCAUAAAAGAAUCUGGAGAAAUGUAGAGCUUGUUGGACAUCGUAAAUUAUUGGAAUUGGAAAUACAGAUGGUUAUACUAUCACUUAGACCAAUAAUUACUUACUUUAUAGCUUACUCAAGAAUAGGUACAAAAAGAAAGGUAUAGGUGACAAAAUUUGAAUAUAUAAUUGUCCCAUAUCUGAUGACUUAAGUUCUUAAACUAGAAGGUUCAAAUAUAUCCACACGAUGAUGAUGUCUUAAAGUCUCAUAGCCACCCAUUUGUAAAAAUUGUGCACACGUUAAAACAUCCGAGGGGGAACUUUGAUCACAAAUUAAAUAAAUAAUUUUGCACAAUCUCUAACGGCAUCAGGGUACACAAUAAUUUGGAUUUGAACCUAUGAAAUUUGAUCAUGUGUCUUAGUAUUGAUGAAAAAUGAAUCAGUCGUGUACACGAGGGGCAUACUGAAUACAAAAUUAAUAAAUAAAUCUGUCCACAGCUGAUAGUUGAAGCUUUUGAACGAGGUGGUUCAAAUGAAGGCAUACAACUUUAUAAGCAAUAUGGAACUACUCAGAGCUACAUAAAACUCUUUGAAUACCUUCAAGUGUUAUUACUUCUAAGGUUAAAAUCAUUUGGUCAUCCCUCUAAAAAUUCACACCAAAAUUUAGUAAUCCCUCGACAGCUAAUUGCCCAAAAACCUGACAGCGAAAAUGUGUCAACAUUAUCCUCUCUUCUACACCAUCCUUCCAACUGAACUGUAACAACCAAUCCUUCUACAUUUUCCGUUCAAAGAUCAAAUUAUUUCAUCCCAACACCUUCUCCUACCUAGGCACCCGGCUGCAGGACCAUUAAAACAAUUACGACAAGCCUAGAAAGUUCAGAAAUUACCUCUUUCUAUAAGAAGGUAUGCCAAGCUUUGAAGUGUGUCUAGUGAAGUUGUGUGUGUGGACCAAAUACUGGAUAGCUUGACAGCUUUUGAGAAGCAUAUAUGAUCUAAAGCUUUCAAUUUCUACCACAGAUAUAGACUGCAGAACUCUAGCAUCCAUUUG
rnacentral:lncRNA from 1 species